rfam:Schistosoma rodhaini strain Burundi genome assembly, scaffold: SROB_scaffold0006343
AUCCAGCUCACGAGUCCCAAAUGGGACGAAACGCUCGUCCUGGAU